rnacentral:rRNA from 1 species
UACGUAGGGGGCAAGCGUUGUCCGGAUUCAUUGGGCGUAAAGAGCUCGUAGGCGGUUCAGCAAGUCGGGUGUGAAACCUCCAGGCUCAACCUGGAGACGCCACCCGAUACUGCUGUGACUUGAGUCCGGUAGGGGACCACGGAAUUCCUGGUGUAGCGGUGAAAUGCGCAGAUAUCAGGAGGAACACCGGUGGCGAAGGCGGCUAGCUGGGCGUGAUCUGACGCUGAGGCGCGAAAGCGUGGGGAGCAAACAGG